UACGGGGGGGGCAAGCGUUGUUCGGAAUUACUGGGCGUAAAGGGCUCGUAGGUGGCCAACUAAUCAGACGUGAAAUCCCUCGGCUUAACCGGGGAACUGCGUCUGAUACUGGAUGGCUUGAGUUCGGGAGAGGGAUGCGGAAUUCCAGGUGUAGCGGUGAAAUGCGUAGAUAUCUGGAGGAACACCGGUGGCGAAGGCGGCAUCCUGGACCGACACUGACACUGAGGAGCGAAAGCCAGGGGAGCAAACGGG
rnacentral:rRNA from 1 species